CGUGAGAGAACUCUGGUGAAGGAACUAGGCAAAAUAGCACCGUAACUUCGGGAGAAGGUGCGCUGUUGACGGUGAAGGGCCUGCGCCCGGAGCUGUUGGCAGCCGAAGUAACCAGGCCGCUGCAACUGUUUAUUAAAAACACAGCACUCUGCAAACACGAAAGUGGACGUAUAGGGUGUGACGCCUGCCCGGUGCCGGAAGGUUAAUUGAUGGGGUCAGCCGCAAGGCGAAGCUCUUGAUCGAAGCCCCGGUAAACGGCGGCCGUAACAAUAACGGUCCUAAGGUAGCGAAAUUCCUUGUCGGGUAAGUUCCGACCUGCACGAAUGGCGUAAUGAUGGCGGCGCUGUCUCCACCAGAGACUCAGUGAAAUCGAAAUCGCGGUGAAGAUGCCGUGUACCCGUGGCUAGACGGAAAGACCCCGUGAACCUUUACUGUAGCUUCACACUGGACUUUGACAUGAUCUGUGUAGGAUAGCUGGGAGGCUUUGAAGUGGUGACGCUAGUUGCCAUGGAGCCGUCCUUGAAAUACCAGCCUGGUCCUGUCGGGGUUCUAACGUCGACCUGUUAUCCAGGUUACGUACAGUGUGUGGUGGGCAGUUUGACUGGGGCGGUCUCCUCCCAAAGAGUAACGGAGGAGCACGAAGGUGCGCUAAUGACGGUCGGAAAUCGUCAGGUUAGUGUAAAGGCACAAGCGCGCUUGACUGCGAGACAGACAAGUCGAGCAGGUACGAAAGUAGGUCUUAGUGAUCCGGUGGUUCUGUAUGGAAGGGCCAUCGCUCAACGGAUAAAAGGUACUCCGGGGAUAACAGGCUGAUACCGCCCAAGAGUUCAUAUCGACGGCGGUGUUUGGCACCUCGAUGUCGGCUCAUCACAUCCUGGGGCUGAAGCCGGUCCCAAGGGUAUGGCUGUUCGCCAUUUAAAGUGGUACGCGAGCUGGGUUUAGAACGUCGUGAGACAGUUCGGUCCCUAUCUGCCAUGGGCGUUGGAGAUUUGAGAAGAGUUGCUCCUAGUACGAGAGGACCGGAGUGAACGAACCUCUGGUGUACCGGUUGUCACGCCAGUGGCAUUGCCGGGUAGCUAAGUUCGGACGGGAUAACCGCUGAAAGCAUCUAAGCGGGAAGCCUCCUUCAAGAUGAGAUCUCCCUGGAGCUUUAAGCUCCCUGAAGGGCCGUCGAAGACUACGACGUUGAUAGGCGAGGUGUGGAAGCGUUGUGAGACGUUGAGCUGACUCGUACUAAUUGCCCGUGCGGCUUGACC
rnacentral:rRNA from 1 species